UAUAUGUGCACAAGUCCUUGUGUUUACUAAACCUAGAGGCAAAGUGAAAGCGAAUAGCCGAUCCCGUUAAGAUACGAACGGGCGCAGGCUAGGGACUUGCGCUCCCCAUUGUGGGAUGUGAGUACCAGGAGUGCAUCUGGUAGUACCCGAAAGAUGGUGAACUAUGCCUGGCCAGGACGAAGCCAGAGGAAACUCUGGUGGAGGUCCGUAACGCUUCUGACGUGCAAAUCGAUCGUUGGAGCUGGGUAUAGGGGCGAAAGACUAAUCGAACUAUCUAGUAGCUGGUUCCCUCUGAAGUUUCCUGCAGGAUAGCUGGUGCUCGAAAUAAGUUUCACGAGGUAAAGCGAAUGAUUAGAGGUCUUGGGGCCGAAACGGUCUCAACCUAUUCUCAAACUUUAAAUAGGUGAGAAGUCGGGUUUGCUUGAUUAUGAAGCUCCGACAGUGAAUAAGAGUGCCUAGUGGGCCAUUUUUGGUAAGCAGAACUGGUGAUGUGGAACGAACCAAACGUUGAGUUAUGGGGCCUAAAUGAAUGCAAUUUAGAUCAGUUUAAGGGAGUUGCUUGCUUAUGACAGCAGGACGGUGGCCAUGGAAGUCGGAAACCGCAUAGAGUGUGUACAA
rnacentral:rRNA from 1 species